rnacentral:rRNA from 1 species
CAGCAGCCACGGUAAUACGUAGGGGGCAAGCGUUAUCCGGAAUUACUGAGCGUAAAGGGUGCGUAGGCGGCUAGUUAAGUCGAGGUUAAAAGGCAGUAGCUCAACUACUGUUGGGCCUUGAAACUAAUUAGCUUGAGUAUAGGAGAGGAAAGUGGAAUUCCCGGUGUAGCGGUGAAAUGCGUAGAUAUCGGGAGGAAUACCGGUGGCGAAGGCGACUUUCUGGACUAUAACUGACGCUGAGGCACGAAAGCGUGGGUAGCAAACAGGAUUAGAUACCCGCGUAGUCCCUGUCUCUUAUACA